CAUUGAUAAUUGGACUGUCAUUAGAAACAUGUUCGGCUUCAAUAGUAAGUUUUCCGCUGUUCUUCUUUUUCUUCUUUUGCUUCCGUUUUUUUGACACUGAAGUUGAAGCUUCCGAAGGUUCAAUAUCUUCAUUUCGCUCCUCUAUGGGGUUUGAGGGUUCUUUAUGAUUAAGCUUAGAAGAAUCCCUUUUUUGCUUGUUCAGCCCUAAAUCCCUAAUGACUAUAGGCUCUUGUUUCUUCUCUCCAUUCAGACUCGGGUUUGCAGCUUCAGUUACAGUGGACUGCUUUACAUUCAAUUCGGAUUCAACAUGCCCUUGAGUACAAGGAAGAGUUAAUGAAAAAGGAAUAUUCUGGUUCACUAUAAAGAGUCUCUCUUUACGAGCUUUCCGUAAAUCAUCUUGCGACUGUCCCUCAAUCCAAAACGCAGAUCCAUUUGCCAGCAAAGUCUUUAGUUUACUUCUAUUUUGUUUAGAAAUCUCGAAAACACUGGAGUCAACUUUGUAAUCACCCAAAGUAUUCGAUUCGGAAAAAACUGCUAGCGGUUGAUUUUGCUUCUCAACUUCUUUAAAUUGGGAUUUCUCACGAUCUACUUGCUCAUUAUACAACUUUUCGGCUUCUUGAACGACUUUAACGAUAUCUUCAACAUACAUGCGAGCAAUUGGUGUCAAUUGCUUAGAAAUUGAAAACACAUCAGCCGCUUCAACCGGUUUACUGGCGGCAAUCGCAAUAAGUAAACGAUUUGGCAACACAUAGCGAACACUUUCAUCUUCUUUUCGGGCUACGGAAUCUCUCCAAUCGUGCAGUGCUCGAUAAAUCAUCAAAGCUUCCCGUCCAAUUAUUUUAGAAGAGCCAAACUUAGUAAGUACAUUUCUCCAGCCAUCAGUACCAAGUCCAUAAAUAGGAUCAUAAGGCUCAAGUUCAUACUUUCUAAGAGAUAUUUGUUUACUGGAAUUGAACACUGAUUGCAUAAGAUUUUCUUUUCUUUCAGCUGAUUUUGAUAUGAGUUCAUUUCGUAAAUGAUCCCAAAUAUAUAACAAAUAAUGCGUAUCAGAUUGAGCAUAUUUUAACAUUUCCCGAGGCAAAGGACGGAUUCUCCAAUCAGCCAUUUGGUAUCUUUUAUCUGCAUCAUAAUCACAAUACUUUUGUAACAGAAAAGCCAGACCAUGACCCUCAAAUCCUAAAACUUUAGUAGCAUAGUAUGUAUCA